UUUGUACUUCCUCCGUCCGGAAUUACUUGUCAUCAAAAUGGAUGAAAAUGAAUGUAUCUACAACUAAAAUACAUCUAGAUACAUCCAUUUCAAUGACAAGUAUUUCCGAACGGAGGGAGUACCAU
rnacentral:pre_miRNA from 1 species